rnacentral:rRNA from 1 species
UAGCGGCGGACGGGUGAGUAACACGUGGGCAACCUGCCCCUUAGACUGGGAUAACUCCGGGAAACCGGAGCUAAUACCGGAUAAUCCCUUUCUCCACCUGGAGAGAGGGUGAAAGAUGGCUUCGGCUAUCACUAGGGGAUGGGCCCGCGGCGCAUUAGCUAGUUGGUAAGGUAACGGCUUACCAAGGCAACGAUGCGUAGCCGACCUGAGAGGGUGAUCGGCCACACUGGGACUGAGACACGGCCCAGACUCCUACGGGAGGCAGCAGUAGGGAAUCUUCCGCAAUGGACGAAAGUCUGACGGAGCAACGCCGCGUGAGUGAGGAAGGCCUUCGGGUCGUAAAGCUCUGUUGUGAGGGAAGAAGCGGUACCGUUCGAAUAGGGC